ACAGUUUCCAAAAGAAGGUACUCCAAGAGGGAUUCCAAUUCGGAUAAUAAUUGACAUUCCACGGAAAAUAGAGGAAAUCCUCAUGUCCAUCAGGUGUCCAAUGGACAAAGUCCCGUAACAGUUGUCGGUUCCUGCGGCAUACGAAACGUAGUAGGGUAUAAAAUUCCCAAGGGUUGUUCCAAAAGGUAUGAAAUCCUGCACUUGUGGGGAUUUUUCGUCGUUACAUGAGAUUCGUUCCGUUAUCUUGUAUUAAAAAAUUUAAAAAAGUUGUAAAUGUCCAAAGCGAAUGGAAUGAAAAAAAAAUGGUCAAGAAAAUGUAGAUCCUGACUCAAUAUACGGCAAUGACGAGUUCCACAGGAUGUUGUCGUCCAAGAUUCUUCUCAGCAAUGUCGGUGAAAGGAAUGAAAGAUCCCCAGAAGUUGGGAACCAUUGGAGGCACAUAUCUGAAUUGGCUGGGUGCUUGGCUGUAAGGUGCAUACUCAGAUGAAGACGAUGAAGAUGACGAUAUGGAGGAGCCGUCGUCGUCGGAGAGAGAAGUAUCAGAAACAGCUGACAUUGAAUAUUCGGUUUCGAGAGGCUCUGCUGGAAGAGAGACCGGAUAAGGAACAAAAUUGGCAGGACUAUAGGAAUCCUUUUGGUAUUGAUAACUCUGGCAAGGUGGUGUUGGUGCCAUGGACAAAGGAGAUCCAGACCGAAGAGUGAAUCUUGGACACUCAACAAUCAAUUUGCGCAGCUCCGAUAUUGAAAUUCGCUUUUGGGGAUCGCAUUCAAAAAUACGCCUUAGAAUAGAGUUGAGUUCGGGUGACAGAGGUAAAAUUGUCCUCAGAAAUUGUGGGUCCUUAAGAAAGGCACGGAAAGUAGAAUCUUCGGUUGAAGCUCUUUUCCAAGGAUUCCGCCCACAAGAUAAAUUAACCAAGAUGACUCCAAGGCUCCAUACGUCAUUGGGUGCAGAAGCAUAUGGCUGUGGAGUAGAUUGCUGGCAUUCUGGUGACAUAUAGAACGUUGAACCACAUCCGAAGUCCGAUGUAUAGUAAUCGGUUGUAGCAAGGCCGAAGUCGGCCAGCUUUACCGUCAUUCCAUGAUCUGUGACCAAAAUAUUCUCUGGUUUAAGGUCCCGGUGGUAGAUUCCAAUGGAGUGACAGUACUGCACAGCAUCCAAAAUCUGGAGAAAAGCACGUUUGGCAAGGAAAUCGUUUCCAACAAACUGGCCUUUGUCAGUAAUGUUGGAGAAAAGAUCGCCCUCCGGGCAAAACUCAAUAACAACAAAAGUACAAUCAAGAGAAUCCAUUAUGCGGACCAAAGAAACCACAUUGGGAUGUUGACUGGCCAAAUGAUGGAGCUUGAUUUCCCGCUGCUGAAAUUUCCGUUGUCUAGAGUCCAGACCUGCUUUGUUGAGGGCUUUAACGGCGUACGGCACAUGGGUAUGGAUGUCGAUAGCGGAAUACACAACACCAUACGCACCUACCCCAAGAACGCUUGUAAGUUCUAGCCGGUUGGCGAGUAGCAAACCGAGCCUAUCCUCUGGGACAUCGCAUAUUGUAACGGGUGGAGGCGAUUGCGGUGGUGUAGGUAACAUUGUGGGGUACAUUUAUACCUCCCGAAGUUGGGGUUUCGAGGUGUGCAGCAAACAAACGGUAUUGCAACGUCAAUUUCCCAGGACAAGUGAAAUCCGGAGUCCAAAGGGCAAUUGGGGAUCCUGAUCCUUAAUAUAUAGUAUGAAACAAAAUCGCCGUAGUCCAAAAGAUAUUUCAAAGGAAUGAUUCGGGCAGUGUUGCCCAGCUAAAAAAUAUGCUCAACCAAAACAACGAGGAUGAAAAGGAGUUUUCGAGUAGGAAGAGGACGAGGAUAAUUAAAUGGAGAGAGAGGUUGCAAGUAAGUAUGAAGUCGAAGAUUAAGUAGAGGAAAGGAAGGAGAGCGAAGGCUGG
rnacentral:sRNA from 1 species